CACAUCAUUACAACACUGUAUAUAUGUAUAUAAUAUUACAUUUGAAAUGUCUGUGAGUGUAAUGUUUACUGUUCAUUGGUUAUGUUUACUUGCCUUGGCAACAUUAUCAUAUGUUUCCCAUGACAAUAAGGCCCUUGGGGGGGGGGAUGGGAUGUCACAGAAGAUCAGGUCACCACGGGGGGUGACAACGUCAAGCUGGGGAACUCAGAUCUGCUGAUCUGCGGACAAACGCAACAACAGCCCCAUUGCCAUGGAUCCUGACGGGCUACAUCUACAUCUAAAGGGUCCAACAGCAGCCUCUUCACCUAGAUGACUGAGGAGGAGUUUGAGGACUGGGUCAAUGUUCUAGAGGUCCCACUCCAGCCUCUUCACCUGGAUGACUGAGGAGGAGUUUGAGGACUGGGUCAAUGUUCUAGAGGUCCCACUCCAGCCUCUACACCUGGAUGACUGAGGAGGAGUUUGAGGACUGGGUCAAUGUUCUAGAGGUCCCACAGCAGCCUCUUCACCUGGAUGACUGAGGAGGAGUGUGAGGACUGGGUCAAUGUUCUAGAGGUCCCACUCCAGCCUCUUCACCUGGAUGACUGAGGAGGAGUUUGAGGACUGGGUCAAUGUUCUAGAGGUCCCACAGCAGCCUCUUCACCUGGAUGACUGAGGAGGAGUUUGAGGACUGGGUCAAUGUUCUAUAGGUUGACCCAGACUCUAAGGGGUUCAUUCAAAUAUGAACUUUAAAACUAUGCCUCUGAUGCGUUUCUUCAUCACCAACAGGAAAGACAAGUUUAAAUAUAGUGACAGUUUGUUUCCCAACAGGAAAGACAAGUUUAAAUAUAGUGACAGUUUGUUUCCCAACAGGAAAGACAAGUUUAAAUAUAGUGACAGUUUGUUUCCCAACAGGAAAGACAAGUUUAAAUAUAGUGACAGUUUGUUUCCCUCUUGGUGCAUUUCUCCAUCUGCUCCUGUGUCCUAAAAUGGCCAUUUCAUUCAUCCCAGCAACAGUUACAGAUUUAGGAUGUGUUGAGUGAUUACUGCAUAUAAACUUAAAUAAACAGUCUUUAUAUG